CGCUUAGGGCUAAGGGGGCUAGCGGAUGGAAGUGCUAGUCUAAGGUCGUAGGAGGUUAUACAGGCAAAUCCGUAUAACAAUACUCCGAGAACUGAAAGGCUUUUUGAAGUCUUCGGAUGGAUAGAAGAACCCCUGAUGCCGUCGAGCCAAGAAAAGUUUCUAAGUUUAGCUAAUGUUGCCCGUACCGUAAACCGACACAGGUGGGUGGGAUGAGUAUUCUAAGGCGCGUGGAAGAACUCUCUUUAAGGAACUCUGCAAAAUAGCACCGUAUCUUCGGUAUAAGGUGUGGUUAGCUUUGUAUUAGGAUUUACUCCGAAAGCAAGGAAACUUACAACAAAGAGUCCCUCCCGACUGUUUACCAAAAACACAGCACUCUGCUAACUCGUAAGAGGAUGUAUAGGGUGUGACGCCUGCCCGGUGCUCGAAGGUUAAUUGAUGGGGUUAGCAUUAGCGAAGCUCUUGAUCGAAGCCCGAGUAAACGGCGGCCGUAACUAUAACGGUCCUAAGGUAGCGAAAUUCCUUGUCGGUUAAAUACCGACCUGCAUGAAUGGCGUAACGAGAUGGGAGCUGUCUCAAAGAGGGAUCCAGUGAAAUUGUAGUGGAGGUGAAAAUUCCUCCUACCCGCGGCAAGACGGAAAGACCCCGUGGACCUUUACUACAGCUUGACACUGCUACUUGGAUAAGAAUGUGCAGGAUAGGUGGGAGGCUUUGAGUAUAUGACGCCAGUUGUAUAUGAGCCAUUGUUGAGAUACCACUCUUUCUUAUUUGGGUAGCUAACCAGCUUGAGUUAUCCUCAAGUGGGACAAUGUCUGGUGGGUAGUUUGACUGGGGCGGUCGCCUCCCAAAUAAUAACGGAGGCUUACAAAGGUUGGCUCAGAACGGUUGGAAAUCGUUCGUAGAGUAUAAAGGUAUAAGCCAGCUUAACUGCAAGACAUACAAGUCAAGCAGAGACGAAAGUCGGUCUUAGUGAUCCGGUGGUUCUGUGUGGAAGGGCCAUCGCUCAAAGGAUAAAAGGUACCCCGGGGAUAACAGGCUGAUCUCCCCCAAGAGCUCACAUCGACGGGGAGGUUUGGCACCUCGAUGUCGGCUCAUCGCAUCCUGGGGCUGGAGCAGGUCCCAAGGGUAUGGCUGUUCGCCAUUUAAAGCGGUACGCGAGCUGGGUUCAGAACGUCGUGAGACAGUUCGGUCCCUAUCUGCCGUGGGCGUAAGAAGAUUGAAGAGAUUUGACCCUAGUACGAGAGGACCGGGUUGAACAAACCACUGGUGUAGCUGUUGUUCUGCCAAGAGCAUCGCAGCGUAGCUAAGUUUGGAAAGGAUAAACGCUGAAAGCAUCUAAGCGUGAAGCCAACUCUAAGAUGAAUCUUCUCUAAGCUCUCUAGAAGACUACUAGUUUGAUAGGCUGGGUGUGUAAUGGAUGAAAGUCCUUUAGCUGACCAGUACUAAUAGAGCGUUUGGCUUAUCUUU
rnacentral:rRNA from 1 species